CAGGAAAUAGUUUAAUUUAGAAUUCUAUCUUUGGGAGAUAGUGGUGGAAGUUAAAAUCUUUCUUUUCUGG
rnacentral:tRNA from 1 species